GACGAACGCUGGCGGCGUGCUUAACACAUGCAAGUCGAGCGGUAAGGCCCUUUCGGGGGUACGACGAGCGGCGAACGGGUAGGAGUAACAACGUGGGUGGACCUCGCCCUCCAGCUCUGGGAGUAAGCCUGGGAAACGUAGGGUCGUAAUACUGGAUAUGACUCCACGGUGCAUGUCGUGGGGUGGAAAGCCUUGUGCGGCUGAGGAUGGGCCCGGCCGGCCUAUCAGCUUGUU
rnacentral:rRNA from 1 species